UACGUAGGGGGCGAGCGUUGUCCGGAUUUAUUGGGCGUAAAGACCUCGUAGGCGGUUUGGUAAGUCAGCGGUGAAAUUUCGGAGCCCAACUCCGAACUGUCCGUUGAUACUGCCAUGACUUGAGUCCGGUAGGGGAGUGCGGAACUCCUGGUGUAGCGGUGAAAUGCGCAGAUAUCAGGAAGAACACCGGUGGCGAAGGCGGCACUCUGGGCCGGUACUGACGCUGAGGAGGGAAAGCUAGGGGAGCAAA
rnacentral:rRNA from 1 species